GAAAGAUUUUACCCCUGCGGACACUGGAGUGUGGCCCUCUGCCCUAGGAGCAGGUAGAGCCUCUGUGCCCAGGUCCUCACAGAACCACCCCUGCCCCCAGGCCCCCAGGCUCUCCUCCUCUGCCCCUGCCCUGCAGUGGUGGCAAGCAGGCCCCGGCUGGCAGAGGGGAGCCUGGCAGUGGAGGCGAAGGAGAAACGGGAGUGAGAGCAGUUGCUGACCGAGGCCCUGGGUGUGUCCCGGUCGCCCCCUGCAGGCCCUGGCAUGGAGGACGAGGGGCUGGAUGCCUGCUGGGCUGGGCCUUCAGAUGACUAUAUGGGUCAGAGUUUCCAGAUCUGCACAGCCCCGCACAGAAAUGCUGGAAGGUCAGGGAGUGAGGACCUGGAACAUGACCCCUCUUGGCCAGGUGCAGGAGUCUUGGGAUCCAAGGGACUGGCUCCAGUCCCUUUUCUUGCCUUUCUCCCACCCAGCCCCACUGGUCCUGUUCUCUCUUCACAGCUUCUCAGUGAUUGAAAGGAUAAGUCUGGGACCCUCACAGUCCAAAAUUCCCUAGGCCAAAACCUCCAGUUCUUUCCAUUGGGUCUCUAUGAACCUAGCCAUUUCAUUUCUUACAGACCUGGUAAUUCUUUGCAGACAGAAGGGAACUUCUAUUCCUGUGUUUGUGCUUUAAAUGCUUGGGGAUGGCAUUGGUUCAGGAGGUGCUGGGGUCUCAGGGAAGGGCUUUGAACGCCUUCUCUUGCCCCUUCUUUGCCGUUCUCCCCAUCCCUGGUGCUCCUUCCUGCUCCCUCAUGUUGCGGGGGGUGCAUCUUGCUGUGGAGUUGGGCGGUGGUUAGAGAACCUCUGGGAUCCCCCUCAGAGGGCAGGCAGUCCUGGCCAGGGAGGCCUAGGCUCCAUCUGGGGAUCUGGAGGGGAAGUCAGAAGCUACAUGAGGAAGAGUGUAAAGGUUAGAGCUCAGGCAGGAACAGAGACCAGGGCCCACAGUAGGGGUGGGAGAGAAAGAGGCAGGGCCGGAGGCCUGGGGAGAGCUGCCCACUGCCCUCCCUGCCCCUCCCCUCCCCUCUCUACCCCUCCCUCCCUCCUGGGUGUUAGCUGCCUCAGCUGUAGUCCUGAGCUCCUUAAUCUGGUGAUCAGUGUGGUGCUGGGGGGUGGGUUGGCAGAGGCUUUAGGGGGUGACAGGGGAUCUUGGGAGUCGCACUCGGCUAACCGAGCAUCACACAAAGCCCGGGAAUCACAUUCCAAGCGCGGCUCGUUCAGAGGCUGGAGCGGCAUGGGUGGCGCCCGGUGGGGGGCUGGGCCCCGGCUGGCCUUGUGCUCUGCCCCUCAGGAGGGACGCUCCCAAGAGUAA
rnacentral:lncRNA from 1 species